UACGUAGGGUGCAAGCGUUGUCCGGAAUUAUUGGGCGUAAAGAGCUUGUAGGCGGUUUGUCGCGUCUGCUGUGAAAUUUCGGGGCUCAACCCCGAACUUGCAGUGGGUACGGGCAGACUAGAGUGCGGUAGGGGAGAUCGGAAUUCCUGGUGUAGCGGUGAAAUGCGCAGAUAUCAGGAGGAACACCGGUGGCGAAGGCGGAUCUCUGGGCCGAUACUGACGCUGAGGAGCGAAAGCGUGGGGAGCAAACAGG
rnacentral:rRNA from 1 species